UACGUAGGGGGCGAGCGUUGUCCGGAAUUAUUGGGCGUAAAGAGCUCGUAGGCGGUUUGUCGCGUCGAAUGUGAAAACCCGGGGCUCAACCCCGGGCCUGCAUUCGAUACGGGCAGACUAGAGUUCGGUAGGGGAGUCUGGAAUUCCUGGUGUAGCGGUGAAAUGCGCAGAUAUCAGGAGGAACACCGGUGGCGAAGGCGGGUCUCUGGGCCGAUACUGACGCUGAGGAGCGAAAGCGUGGGGAGCGAACAGG
rnacentral:rRNA from 1 species